rnacentral:rRNA from 1 species
GACGAACGCUGGCGGCGUGCCUAAUACAUGCAAGUCGAGCGGACGAAUCGAAAGCUUGCUUUUGAUUCGUUAGCGGCGGACGGGUGAGUAACACGUGGGCAACCUGCCCUGUAGACGGGGAUAACACCGAGAAAUCGGUGCUAAUACCGGAUAACACGAAAUGUCGCAUGACGUUUCGUUGAAAGACGGCGCAAGCUGCCGCUACAGGAUGGGCCCGCGGCGCAUUAGCUAGUUGGUGAGGUAACGGCUCACCAAGGCGACGAUACGGAGCCGCCCUGAGAGGGUGAUCGGCCACACUGGGACGGAGACACGCCCCAGACUCCUACGGGAGGCAGCAGUAGGGAAUCUUCCGCAAUGGACGAAAGUCUGACGGAGCAACGCCGCGUGAGCGAAGAAGGCCUUCGGGUCGUAAAGCUCUGUUGUUAGGGAAGAACAAGUAACGCAGUAACUGGCGUUACCGUGACGGUACCUAACGAGAAAGCCACGGCUAACUACGUG